rnacentral:lncRNA from 1 species
AGAAGACAACGAGAGGGAAGAAGAAAAUAACUGCGGAUUGGUAGACAGAUAACACAAGCCAAUAGAAGAAAGAUCUCCUAUUGAAAAGCUCACCACGCUGGCCGGAUCGGUAUAGCUGAGGGUAACGGAAAGCAUCAGCAGGAGUCACGUCCUGGUCAAUGAUGCCAAUUAUGACUACAGGGAGCACAGUGAAGACCGUGUUGUAGAAGGAAGCAUACCAAUCAUUGUAGAGGGGGUUUCCUGAGAAGUAUGCAAAGAUAUUGGAGUACAAAG